UUCCCUCAUCUUUAAGGAAAACUUUUUCAAAUAAAAGCAAAUUUUCAAAUCCAAACAAUUGUCAUCUCCCUGCCUAUGCAAUGCGCAUGCCCCAAAUGGACCAUAAUACAUUUCUGCAUUCUACAUCAAGCCCUCAGUCCAACCUCAAUCACGCAAUGAACCACCUGUUGUGACUUAAAUUUUGGAUUUGUUUAAUUGAUUACGAAGAUCACAGAUUUUUUCUUUCCCAAUAACAUGAUUCACCUCCUCUAUUGUAUUAAAUAAAUUUUAACACGUGAUCUAAAUUUAACGAUGAAAAAUUUUUAACAAUCCCCUUUACAUUCCCUAACAAUUUAUUUCUUUUAUGAACCCUAUAAACAUACAAUUAACCUAUUGAGACCUAAAUAAACCCGCAUAUAUAUAUAAAAAAAUCCCUUUAAACCGUAAUUACUCCAAAUAAUUGACUUAAAUUGGAUAAAGAAAAAUACUUUUGGUCUACUUCCCCUACUGGUACAAUGUUUUUAAGGAAAUCCAUCAAAAUAGAACAUCUGUACAUUUCAACUGAUUGACGGUAAAAUUAAAAAAGAAUUUUUAUUAUAAUUAUGUUUUAUAUGCUUACCUCUCGCGGAACGAUUUAUUAUAUAAUGCAAUGUAUUUAUGUGUUUCUCAGUCGUGCCUGAAGAAGAUUGUUAAAUCGAAACAUGUCGCACUGAAACAAAUCUAAAUAAAGAAUUUUCAUCGUUUCUAUGAGA